AACAGAAAUGCGAGCAGGGUGGUUAAUUCAGCCCAGUUAUCAGUAAGGUUUCAAAACUACAUGCCCUGGGCUUCCAGCCAAUUCUGUUUCUUGGACAGUUUGACCGAAAGGGCCGUAUAGUAGGGGACGUGAUCACAUAGAGCCAGCAGAUGGUGCUGCAUGUGACAUCCUCAUGAAGAUGAGGAAACUUUAUGAACACCUUCUGAGAAAAUUACAAGCUUCACCUCCUGCUAAAAGUUCUACACCAGCAGCUGGACCAUCCUCUGCUGACAGUGUCGAUGCUGGACCAAUUUAUUCUUCAUUUAGAGCCUGAACCAACAUCUUCCCUCUGUCAGCCUCCUGCAUCCUCCUCUUCAUCUCCGCUUCCUGCAUUUCCCUCAAUUUCUACGGCGUACACCUCGGAUGUCCCAAACAAAAAAAGGACAAGGAAAGAAUGCCAAAAACACCGUACACAGAAGAUUUUCAAAUAUGAAGAGAUAGUAGACAGGAGAGUUGUAAAUGAAAAAGAAGAAGUUAAAGUCAAGUGGAAGCCCUGCUUAACAUGGUAUGUAGUAACAACGGGAACAGACAUUCAUAUUGUUGAUAAAUAGUUAUCACCUCAAUUUGAAUUCAUGUAUUUGGACUAAAGUAAAUUGAGAGCUUUUAGCAAUCAAGCUGCUCUUCUGUGAGGAGCUUGAUAGCUGUCCACCUCCAAAGUCCAUUAUGAGAUUUGGAGGUGGACAUGGUCAACACUUUUAAGAGUAGGCAUAAGACUUUACUUCUUUAUAGAGCUUAUAGUUAGGGCUGGUUCAGGUCAGCCCUUAGUUAUGCUGUCAUAGGACCAGAC